UAGGGCUACACACGUCAUACAAUGGAUGGUACAAAGGGUCGCAACCCGCGAGGGGGAGCCAAUCCCAUAAAACCAUUCGUAGUCCGGAUCGCAGUCUGCAACUCGACUGCGUGAAGUCGGAAUCGCUAGUAAUCGUGGAUCAGAAUGUCACGGUGAAUACGUUCCCGGGUCUU
rnacentral:rRNA from 1 species